AUGAACGCAACUAUUGAGCAUGACGAACACACUGACGCCCCCAAGCCUCUGCAACUACAGGGCUUUAAACAGGACGAACAAACAUACAAAGUGGACACAAGCAGAAGAAGACAGCAUAGGUUUCACAUCGUAACUCAGACCGCAGAAUCUUGUGCAGUGGGAGCAUUAAUCCCUCCCAGAGGAGGAAGAGGGCCGCUCCAGGAUGCCGGCAUGAGUGAGAAGCGCCCAGAGAUGUGUCAUGAACUCACCACCAGCGGACAGCUUCUCCCCAUGGAUCUCUGUAUUGUCAGAUGGCGCCAGGAAGAGUAUGAACUCUGCCCAAAAGUCGGCCAACACCUUCCAACGCUGCUCUUGGUCGGGGACCAUGUCUCUAAGUUGCCUCCCAAGCUUGGCUCCCAUAUAUAA
rnacentral:rRNA from 1 species